CUUAGCGAACUGAAACAUCUGAGUAGCUAAAGGAAGGAAAAUCAACCGAGACCCCGUUAGUAGCGGCGAGCGAGAGCGGAACAAGGGUUUUCAUCAAAAGAAAUCCGAAGCGGUUUCAUUCGAUUUGUUGUGGAUUGGAUGAUGGAAAAACCAGCAAGCAGCAAGCGUAGUUAGAAAAGUUGCCGUAGCGCGCCCUACGGAGUUGUACAAAGUCAGCAACCGUUUUGGGGCGCAAGCAUAGGCAACACAGGACUGAUGACGGGGUGGGGCGCGCAGUGAACUGGUUUUCUAAAAAGAUUGGAAGAUCCGGCCAAAGAAGGUGAUAGCCCUGUUCAUUCGUUCCCAUGGUUCGAUCCUUCCCAGUAAAACGCGGCAUGUUCGAAUGAUGAUCGCUUUUACGCGAGAAAGGGGGACCACCCUCUAAGCCUAAGUAUUCCUCAAUGACCGAUAGCGUACAAGUACCGUGAGGGAAAGGUGAAAAGAACCCCAAUCGGGGAGUGCAAUAGAGAACCUGAGAUCCGAUGCGAACAAUCAGUCGAAGGAGCGGAGCGCGGGCGCACUCACUCUAACGGUG
rnacentral:rRNA from 1 species